rnacentral:sRNA from 1 species
UCUAAACAAAUGCCUCAUGACCACCGGGGUCUGGUUAUAUAGCACUGUUAUAUAGCAGUAUAUCCUUAACUCUAAAACACUAUUUGGAAUAUAGGAGAAUCUUGGUAUACAUCUGUGAAUAACUAAUAAAAUAUUCAACAGAAGGAGGAGCCUACUGAUCAUAUUUCAUCAAAUCCAUUCUCAUGGAGGUUGAAAAUCAAAAUACGGGUUCUACUAUAUGGAAACAGGAUGUGUUUGUCCAUUCAUCUGCUGAUGGGUAUUUGAAUUGUCUCCAAUUAUUGUGAGAAAAGAGUUGCUGUAAACACUGUGCACAAGCUUUUAUGUGAAUAUGCUUUUAUGCCUUCAGUAAAUACAAAGAGACUAAAGGCAGAGUUGUAUGCCAUGAAAACACAGUGUCUGCUAGUGGUCUUCAAUAGUAGCACCGGAUCUUGUGCUGGCUGUCAAGGAUCUUUGAGCUUCGGAGAAGCCAUUGCUGAAUAAUGCUCCAAAGUGCAAGAGUAUCACAUUUUCCCCCACUCAUAUGUUGUUGGACACCCAGGCUGAUUCCAUGGCCUGGUUCUUCUGAGUAGUGCUGUGAUGGAGCUGGAUGCCGGGGAAUUGCUAUUGCAUCCUGCAUGCUGUUUAUCUUCAGCUCACCUGUCUUUCGGUUUUCCCUGAGUGUGUGAAGAAAUAGCUGAUGUCGUGUGGUGUGUAAACAGGUGACCUGGAUUUCUUAAAUUUACAUCUUGCCGAGACAGCGUCGGCUUGAAUGAUGAAUCAUGUGAUGCUGUGGCAGCAGGGAGAGGUGAGGACAAGACAGACUGCUCUUGAUAAUCGAGUUAAUAAACAGAAGUGAAGAAUCUCACCCUGUAGGACAAAGCAGCGAGAGAAUUAUUUAUUGUGGCUGUUUAAGGACAACUUCAGAGCACAAUUUGAACAUCUCUGAGGAGCCUUGUUGACCUGCAGUUUGAAUGAAUGUUAGGCUGAUCUGAUUCUUCCAGCAGGCAGGCUGCUAAAGCCUCACAGUGGAGUUCCACUGUGCCUGAGUUCAACAGUUCCAUAGGCUUGGAAAUUUGAUCUCAUCAGCUAUUGAAUUAUAAAGCCAUCUUUUAGGUAAAGUUCCACAUUUGCUAAACUCACGCUAUCCAUGUGUAUCAACACAGAGCCAGUUGUGCAAAUUAGAAUGAAAAAUGCAGUGCUCAUCUUGACUCAGUGGCUCAACCUGGUGUCUCCAGCCAUCUUUACAUCUGCAGAGAAAAACAGAGAAAAAUCCUCCUUGGAGCAUUGUAGGGGAAUGCAUAAAAUCAGAAGAGCAAGCCAGAGCUCCUAAAAACAGUCAGACCAAGCUUUGGGAGUUAUUAGGCAGAAACAAUUUUCACUAUUCUUGAUUCCAUGUUUACCUACUUUCUUCUAACACUUCAUUAACACAUUUAAUUUAAUCCAUAUUAACAUUUUGUCUUUUGUUUUCCUGGGUCCUGUCUUGCCAUUGCUUCAAUGAUCUCAUUUAAGUCUUUUGCUUUGUGUAAAUUUGAAUCACAAAUUCUUACAAGGUUCAUUCCCUUAGAUAUUCUGUAUAAAGAUUUGAAUCAUAUCACUCCCAGAGACAACCCAUAUAUCGAGAAACAGCUGAGAUGAGCAGUGUUCUUUCUCCAUGACAGAUGUUGCCCUGGCUUUUACUUCCCCAGAUAUAUUCAUUGGACACUUGGCUCCAACCCCUCCUAGGUAUUAUUCCCUUCCUUUCCCUGCAUACCUCUCCUUUGUUCACCUCUGUGAGCAUUGAACAUUGAACAUUGGUCAAGGAUUGCCAUCAGGAGGCAGCAUUAUUGACACACUUGGUACAUGUUUCACCUCCCAGUUUCACCAACCAUUAAAUGGCUAUUUCAAUGCCUACCUUAUGCUAUUAUUAUGUAUGCAGAUGUGUGAUAUGUAAUGUAAGGGUUCCAAUAUUGCCUGUUAUUCCCCACAAGAUGCAUCUCAGUGAGACAAUCCCCACAACACAUUACAGCCACAUCCUGAUAUGGUUCACAUGCACUGCAGCAUUGGAAUCACAUAUAACUUGACAUUCAUCUCUUUGGGUGGGACCAUUCUGGUGUCUUAAGGCUCUUAAUGGUGCCUCAACUACAUUAACUUGGAAGUGGCUACCUUUCCCACUCCAGGCACAACCAAAAUCAAGUCUUCAAAUAUACUCAAGCAGAAGCACAGGAUUGCUAAGGCCCAAAGGAAACCCAGAAUAACUCAUGACAGAUCAGAGAAUAUGAAGUUCAUAGAUCAAUGGCGGUGAGUGUCUCCUUUGGGUGCCUUUAUUCUCUUUGGAGUUCAGUGGGGAAUACAGUUGAAAGAAGAGCUGGUAACAUUGAUGUUUCUGGAGAAUCUCACAUCACUUUUAAGCUAGAAUUCUAAAGUCUGUCACAUUGCCAUGGAAACCAGGCAGAAUGCUGCCUGAUUUCCUAAAUGCCAUGGGACAUGCUGAUGUCUCUCCUUACAUUAUCCUGAGAGUUGAAAGACCUAAAGCCAAUGGACAUAGACUGUGACUGUGUAACUGAGGCAAAAACACCAUCACAAUGGCCAAGAUGGUUUCCAAAUAUAGGUCCCACUCAAAUGAAGUUAAAUAAGGCCUGGGGGCCUGCCAAGGCCUCUUGUCUUCAGCAAAUAUCAGAACUGAGAGGAAGUGCACAAGGCAGCUAGAUCUAAUUUGCAUUUAUCAUUGUCAUGACUGAAAUGCAGUGAAGUUGAUAUGACAUGACAGGACUCUUUCCACAAUAUUUGCCAUCCUUUAUGACUUUAGCCUGCAUGCAUAGGAAUUGUCCUACCCUAGGUGGUAGGGAUCUAGUAAUAAAAUGGAUACAGUAAUUUCUACCGAAUUUAUGAAGUGCCUAUGUAUG